rnacentral:rRNA from 1 species
GAUGAACGCUGGCGGUAUGCUUAACACAUGCAAGUCGAACGGAGUGCCUAGUCACCUGUUGGCUGCCGGGUGGGUAACGCGUGAGGAUCUAGCCUCAGGUCCGGCACAUCCCCGUGAAAUGGUGGCUAAUACCGGAUGUGCCAUCUUGGUGGAAGAUCCAUUGCCUGAGGAUGGGCUCGCGUCUGGUUAGCUAGUUGGUGGGGUACAGGCUUACCAAGGCGACGAUCAGUGACUGGUCUGAGCGGAUGACCAGUCACACUGUGACUGAGACACGGCACAGACACGUACGGGAGGCAGCAGUAGGGAAGUAUACGGGAUGGGCGAAAGACUGACGGAGCAAGCGCGCGUGAGGGAGGAAGGCGGUUGGGUUGCAACUCUCUUUUCUGAGGGAAGAAGAAUGACGGUACCUGAUGAAGCAGCACCGGCUAACUACGUG